AGAGCGAACGCUGGCGGCAGGCCUAACACAUGCAAGUCGAGCGCCCCGCAAGGGGAGCGGCAGACGGGAGAGUAACACGUGGGAACGUACCCUUCAGUUCGGAACAACCCAGGGAAACUUGGGCUAAUACCGAAUACGUCCGUAAGGAGAAAGAUUUAUCGCUGAAGGAUCGGCCCGCGUCUGAUUAGCUUGUUGGUGAGGUAAUGGCUCACCAAGGCGACGACGGUAGCC
rnacentral:rRNA from 1 species